rnacentral:rRNA from 1 species
AUUGAACGCUGGCGGCAUGCCUUACACAUGCAAGUCGAACGGCAGCACGGGUGCUUGCACCUGGUGGCGAGUGGCGAACGGGUGAGUAAUACAUCGGAACAUGUCCUGUAGUGGGGGAUAGCCCGGCGAAAGCCGGAUUAAUACCGCAUACGAUCUACGGAUGAAAGCGGGGGACCUUCGGGCCUCGCGCUAUAGGGUUGGCCGAUGGCUGAUUAGCUAGUUGGUGGGGUAAAGGCCUACCAAGGCGACGAUCAGUAGCUGGUCUGAGAGGACGACCAGCCAACCUGGGACUGAGACACGGCCCAGACUCCUACGGGAGGCAGCAGUGGGGAAUUUUGGACAAAGGGCGAAAGCCUGAUCCAGCAAUGCCGCGUGUGUGAAGAAGGCCUUCGGGUUGUAAAGCACUUUUGUCCGGAAAGAAAUCCUUGGCCCUAAUACGGUCGGGGGAUGACGGUACCGGAAGAAUAAGCACCGGCUAACUACGUG